AUUGAACGCUGGCGGCAGGCCUAACACAUGCAAGUCGAGCGAGGGGAGGAGGGGGGAGAUAUGUCUGGGAAACCGCCUGAUGGAGGGGGAUAACAACUGGAAACGGUAGCUAAUACCGCAUACCAACAGAUGCGCACAGAUGGGAUGAGCGAGUAGGUGGGGUAAUGGCUCACAUAGGCGACGAUCCCUAGCUGGUCUGAGAGGAUGACCCGCCACACUGGAACUGAGACACGGUCCAGACUCCGACGGGAGGCAGCAGUGGGGAAUAUUGCACAAUGGGCGCAAGCCUGAUGCAGCCAUGCCGCAUGUGUGAAGAAGGCCUUCGGGUUGUAAAGCACUUUCAGCGAGGAGGCGUUACUCGCAGAAGAAGCACCGGCUAACUCCGUGCCAGCAGCCGCGGUAAUUC
rnacentral:rRNA from 1 species